GUUGUGGCUCAGUGGUAGAGUGCUUGCCUAGCAUGUGUGGUACUGGGUUCAAUUCUCAACACCACA
rnacentral:tRNA from 1 species